rnacentral:lncRNA from 1 species
UUGAAAUAUCUGACCAACCACUAUUUAUAUAGGACCAAGAAAGUGCCUCAUUAAUGCUUCCAACGGAUAGAAAGUAGCUGAACAGUCAACUAUCCGUUGGCAGUGUCGGACGUCCGGUAGCCCUGUUUUGUGCGUCCGACAGCAGGCAGAGAGUUUAAGAGAUUUUCUUCAAUUCUUUCAGACGUCCGGUAGGCUGAUUUUCU